ACUCCCUCCGUCCGAAAAUACUUGUCAUUGAAAUGGAUGUAUCUAGAUGUAUUUUAGUUCUAGACACAUCCAUUUUGAUGACAAGUAAUUCCGGAUGGAGGGAGUACUUG
rnacentral:pre_miRNA from 1 species